GUCGAGCAUGGCCAGGUUGGCGCCUUCGCCGUUCGGGGCGGCGAGGUGGACGGCGUCGCCGAGCAGGGUCGCCCCCGGCGCCCGGUCCCA
rnacentral:tRNA from 1 species